rnacentral:rRNA from 1 species
GGCCCACCUCCCACCCGUGACUAUUGUACCUUGUUGCUUCGGCGGGCCCGCCAGCGUUGCUGGCCGCCGGGGGGCGACUCGCCCCCGGGCCCGUGCCCGCCGGAGACCCCAACAUGAACCCUGUUCUGAAAGCUUGCAGUCUGAGUGUGAUUCUUUGCAAUCAGUUAAAACUUUCAACAAUGGAUCUCUUGGUUCCGGCAUCGAUGAAGAACGCAGCGAAAUGCGAUAACUAAUGUGAAUUGCAGAAUUCAGUGAAUCAUCGAGUCUUUGAACGCACAUUGCGCCCCCUGGUAUUCCGGGGGGCAUGCCUGUCCGAGCGUCAUUGCUGCCCUCAAGCCCGGCUUGUGUGUUGGGCCCUCGUCCCCCGGCUCCCGGGGGACGGGCCCGAAAGGCAGCGGCGGCACCGCGUCCGGUCCUCGAGCGUAUGGGGCUUCGUCUUCCGCUCCGUAGGCCCGGCCGGCGCCCGCCGACGCAUUUAUUUGCAACUUGUUUUUUUCCAGGUUGACCUCGGAUCAGGUAGGGAUACCCGCUGAACUUAAGCAUAUCAAUAAGCGGGAGGAAU